CUGGUUGAUCCUGCCAGUAGUCAUAUGCUUGUCUCAGAGAUUAAGCCAUGCAUGUCUAAGUACAAACCUUCAAACGGUGAAACCGCGAAUGGCUCAUUAAAUCAGCUAUGGUUCCUUGGAUCGUACAUACUACAUGGAUAACUGUAGUAAUUCUAGAGCUAAUACAUGCCACUAUGCCCUGACCCGCAAGGGAACGGGUGGAUUUAUUAGAACAGAACCAACCGGCGGUGACUUCGGUUGCUGUCGUUGCAUUCUGUGAUGACUCUGGAUAACUUUACUGAUCGCAGUCGGCCUUGUGUCGAUAUAUAUAUAUAUAUAUAGCUAAAAGCCCUUUCAGAUCCCAUUUGCCCGACUGCACGACUAAAAAUAAAUCCAAUUUAACUCUCCUUCAAAUCAGCCGAUCUUUCUGCAUCCCAUGUUAUUUGUCAGUUCAUUUGCAGAUGCACGUGUUUUGGCGGGACAAACCGCCGUUUCUCUCGAAGAAUAUUUGAACACAUAAGAUUGCUUGAUACACACGGUGAGACAACAGUAACCUCGACUCGGAACCUAGCAUGACCGAUUGCAGGGCACCAGUUGACAACAAGUAAUUCCGUGGUCCCCAGACCAUCAUUCUCAUUUACAAUAAGCAUGGUGUUUAGGCUAAAACAGCCGAUUUUGUGCACACUAGCUUUUGUCGUCCAAAAUUUCUGUCUGCCUCAGAGCGUAUCUCGUAAACUCAAAGUAACAAGGCGUUUGGGUAGAGAGGAGAUGGCAGUUAAAAAGUAACCGUAUCCAACUGACUCAGGGAGAGUAAAUUAAGCAGGUGAAAACCACAGUGUGAACGGAUGGUGACUAGUCAGUCUUUACCAUUAUUUGGUUUAGUCACAGAAGGUCACCCCCACCAACAGGAUAAACUCAACACUCUAAAAUGCACAGAGUAUAUGAGUGGAUCAUUCGCACACCCAAUGAGGACAACCUAGUGACUGAAACCUUCAGUACCCGUUUCGGGUAGCUGCAGAUCUGCCUCACAAAUUACCGGGACCCAGGUUAAGCCCGUAUGACACUCCACCAAGGAAAGCCAUUUCUAGCAGCAUUAAAGUGGUUAAAAUGGAAACGCUUUGCUGAGACAAAGCUUAUCGGCCCAUAUGGAAAAGACCAGAAGUGGAAUUUAGUGGCACCUGUUUCGGAUGGCUGGAUGAUCUGUAUAUUCGAGAAACGACACUCUUAAGGCACGGUUAGCCGUGGUUUGGUCUAUUUUAGUACACAACGCUGGCCUCGAAAUGUUAGUUCUAGCACCACUGCAGGUUAAGCUGCCUGAUACUCUUAGGUAGCUAGCUGCUCGAAUGUGACUAUAAGUAACAGACAUCUGUCACCAGUUCAAGUUACCUUUAAACCACCCGUAACCGGCGGCAAAUUUCAAUCUAGGAAGACCGCUCCGCAAGCUAUUUGUCCGGCUUCACUUGUUAUAUAUCUGUUCACCUGUUGUUACGGUGACAUCUACAGACCUAACCAACCUCUCUCACGGAAAGUGGCCUACCACCGUCCAAAAAUUUCUUGCGAGCCAACCAGAUAUUGCCACACACACUGCGGUCGAUCACGCGAACUACGAGUUCAUCGAUCGCCCGCUAUCUUAUUGAGACAGGUGAGUUAUGUGACCCUUACGGUUCGCUCUCGGUCUCGCUGCGCAAGUCGAAUCUAAAAUUUCCAACAUUUAACGAAGCCAUAAUAUUCAGCCAUAUGGGGCGGAUCUGGUGCACGCAGAGUGUAUCGAUCAGGAACUCGUUUCUACACUGGAACUAGCCUUGAACCUCUCCAUCCUUGUAAACAGAUGCCACUUUUCCUAGUAUUUGUUUCUUUACCCCUUUCAUAUAAGUGCAGUAUGGUUAACGCUCCACAAAGAUGGAAAGCAAAUGAAUGUUUACAUCUCGCGACUUAUGUCUUCUUGCCGUCCUACGGAAAUCUAUUAAGAGAUGUUUGGUGAGGGUGAUUGGUAAUUGCCUAUUCCCGACCGUCACCACAGCUGUUUGCCUUUCAAGCUAGGAUCCUUAGGUGGGAAUAUUCUACCCAGUAAACAGGUUUUUGUUGAUGUAUUUCAAGAUAAAACCUAUUCUGUUCCAUCAUUUCAGACGGUGACAUCUGUGUACUGAAUUCAAACAUUUCUGAUAACGUUUACCUGAACAAUGGCAACAUGAAGAGCAAACUGUCAUAAUUCUAUGCAGAAAAUAUGUUAUAUAAGGUCAGAGACUUAGUCUGGUGCCAGCAGCCGCGGUAACUCCAGCUCCAGAAGCGUAUAUUAAAGUUGUUGCAGUUAAAAAGCUCGUAGUUGGAUCUGGGUCGCAUGGCUACAUGCCGUUGCUCGUAUUCCUGGCCUGGUUCACACCGGGACGGGUUUGUGAGUCGGUGUCGUGGUUGUGCAGCCUUUCUGCCGUGUCUGUUUCGACAGGUGUUAGCAUGAUUGGUGGCUUCUGAUGGUUCUGGUGGGUGUGCUGAUCUGUUGACAUGCUUCCAGGUGCCCUUAACCGGGUGUCCGGGGCGGACGUUUACUUUGAACAAAUUUGAGUGCUCAAAGCAGGCCCGUGUGCCUGAAAAUUCUUGCCUGGAACAAUGGAAUAGGAUUUCGAUUAUAUUUUGUUGGUUUUCGGAUCCGAAGUAAUGGUUAAAAGGGACAGACGGUGGCAUUUGUAUGGCGGUUUUAGAGGUGAAAUUCUUGGAUCACCGCCAGACAAACUACAGCGAAAGCAUUUGCCAAGGAUGUUUUCAUUGAUCUGGAGCGAAAGUCAGAGGUUCGAAGACGAUCAGAUACCGUCCUAGUUCUGACCAUAAACGAUGCCAACUGACGAUCCGUGGUGGCGCGAUUAUUGGCCCCGCGGGCAGCCCCCGGGAAACCUUUAAGUCUUUGGGCUCCG
rnacentral:ncRNA from 1 species